AUGGGUGAUCAAAUGCGAAAGAUUAGACCUAAGGAUGUGAUGAAACUUGGUGAUAGGGUUUAUGUUCCAGUGUCAAUUGCUGAAACUAGGAUUUCUAAAAGAUAUGAUGCUAUACAGAGCGGAACAUUAUAUAUGAAUGCUGAUGAAAUUAAUUAUCUACAGAGGCUUGUCAUUUAUAAAGACUCUGCGAUUAUUUUGCUGAAUAAGACUCCGAAGUUGUCGGUUAAGGGGAAUGUUCUGAUUCAUAAUUGUAUGGAUGAAUUGGCAGCUGCAACAUUGUCUUAUGAUUAUGACUAG